UGCUUGGCUUACUUUUGAUUUGUGUGA
rnacentral:piRNA from 1 species